AUUGAACGCUGGCGGCAGGCCUAACACAUGCGAGUCGAGCGGAAGAAGGGAGCUUGCUCCUGGAUUCAGGGGCGGACGGGUGAGAAAUGCCUAGGAAUCUGCCUGGUAGUGGGGGAUAACGUCCGGAAAUGGGCGCUAAUACCGUACAAGCUACGAGGGAGAAAGGGGGGGAUCAUGGGAUCUCACGCUAUCAGAUGAGCCUAGGUCGGAUUAGCUAGUUGGUGGGGUAAAGGCCUACCAAGGCGACGAUCCGUAACUGGUCUGAGAGGAUGAUCAGCCACACUGGAACUGAGACACGGUCCAGACUCCUACGGGAGGCAGCAGUGGGGAAUUUUGGACAAUGGGCGAAAGCCUGAUCCAGCCAUGCCGCGUGUAUGAUGAAGGUCUUCGGAUUGUAAAGCGCUUUUGUUUGGGAGGAAGAGCAGUAUGUUAAUACCUUGCUGUUUUGACGUUACCAUCAGAAUAAGCACCGGCUAACUACGUG
rnacentral:rRNA from 1 species